GUCUACAGCCAUGCCACCCUGAAUGUGCCCGAUCUCAUCUGAUCUCAGAAGCUAAGCAGGGUUGGGCUUGAUUAGUACUUGGAUGGGAGACCACCUAGAAAGACUACGUGCUGUAGGCA
rnacentral:rRNA from 1 species